UUGGAUGAUUCGGUGAGGUCUCGGACCGAUGCUUCGUGUUGAUCCGUUGCGGAUUGGCUGUUGCGUUGGGAAGUUGGCCGAACCCAACCCAUCUAGAGGAAGUAAAAGUCGUAACAAGGUUUCCGUAGGUGAACCUGCGGGAAGGAUCAUUA
rnacentral:rRNA from 1 species